AAGGAUUUAAGUUAAUUAAACUGUUAGUCUUCAAAGCUGAAAAUAGAAGUUUUUCUAAGCCUUA
rnacentral:tRNA from 1 species